UACGAGGGGGGCGAGCGUUGUUCGGAAUUAUUGGGCGUAAAGGGUGCGUAGGCGGCCUGACAAGUCUGAUGUGAAAUCCCUGGGCUCAACCCAGGGCCUGCAUCGGAAACUGUCGGGCUUGAGUAUGGGAGAGGUGAGUGGAAUUUCCGGUGUAGCGGUGAAAUGCGUAGAUAUCGGGAGGAACACCGGUGGCGAAGGCGGGUCUCUGGGCCGAUACUGACGCUGAGGAGCGAAAGCGUGGGGAGCAAACAGG
rnacentral:rRNA from 1 species